rnacentral:rRNA from 1 species
UACGUAGGUGGCAAGCGUUGUCCGGAUUUACUGGGCGUAAAGAGCGCGCAGGCGGUCGUUCAAGUCGCGUGUGAAAGCCCCCGGCUCAACUGGGGAGGGUCACGCGAUACUGAUCGACUCGAAGGCAGGAGAGGGUAGUGGAAUUCCCGGUGUAGUGGGUGAAAUGCGUAGAUAUCGGGAGGAACACCAGUGGCGAAGGCGACUACCUGGCCUGUUCUUGACGCUGAGGCGCG